CCCGCAAAGAAGGGUGGCGAGAAGAAAAAGGGCUGUUCUGUCAUCAACAAGGUGGUGACCGAGAAUACACCGUCAACCUUCACAGGUGCAUCCACGGAGUGGGCUUCAAGAAGCGUUCCCCUUGGGCAUGCAAAGAGAUCUGGAAAUUUGCCAUGAAGGAGAUGGGAACUCCAGAUGUGCGCAUUGAUACUAGACUCAACAAAGCUGUCUGGGCCAAAGGAAUAAGGAAUGUCCAAGACCUUAUCCGUAUGCGGUUGUCCAGAAAACAUAAUGAGGAUGAAGAUUCACCAAAUAAGCUCUAUACUUUGGUUACCAAUGUACCCGUUACCGCUUUCAAAAAUCUACAGGCAAUGUGGAUGAGAAC
rnacentral:lncRNA from 1 species